rnacentral:sRNA from 2 species
CCCGUGAUUCAGAGUAAUAUGGCAUCCCUAAAGCACUCGGGACAUAAACGUCAAGCAUCCAGCGACUCUGCUCAUGACAAGUUUCAUAGGAAUAUUACUAUCAAUUCUUCGACGGAAUCGUUCCAGUCUAAAGGCUCGGACCGGAUUCAUAAUCGAUAUGCUUUUCCCUAUCCCGCUGGUAACCAGAGUUCCAAAAUUGCUACGGUUACGAAGGACUCGCUGCCUCGUGCAAAUACAGCUUUAAAAAAAGACCCGAAGGAAACUAAAGAGCGUUUGGAAAUUAGCGGGACACGGCGGUUUGGGAUAUUUUCAAGAAAAGGAAAAUCGGAUACGGAUAUAGUUGGUUCGGGAUGGAAAGAUAAACCAAGCCGACGUGGCCCUGCUGCAGGAACCGGCCACGAAGGUUAUCAGAGGUACGCCCAGCGGGGCCGCAGAUCCAGCAUAAGUAGCGCUAAUGGAAGAGCAAGAUCCACAAGUGCAACUCCUCCAUCUAGGAAGGGCAGUUUUGCUAGUCAAACAGAAUCGGAUUUGGAUGACUUCCUGUUAGAUCGCCUGGAGCCAGUCAUCAUUAGUGGACGCGGGGUCAAUGGAGCAGAGCUCAGUCGAACCAAGAGUGCGGAAAGCGCGAGUGGCGCGAGUGUCACGUCAAUUUCAAAUUCCUAUCCUGGUCCACAAUAUUCGAAAGCCACCGAGGAUUCUUCAGAAUCACUGAUUCUAGGGACGGGAUGUUCCUCCCAGCCAACCGAAACUUUUGAUUCUUUACUCCACAGAAUCCAUCGAGAUGAAGAAAACCAGAGCCUAGCCAACCGUCGAUCUUUUCGCAGGUCACAGGUCUUUGAGUCGAAGGAAAAAAUUACAGUUCCACUAUCUGCCAAUACUGAGCUUCCCAAAUCACGUUCAUCGAUUGACAGUGGCAACACUAGCCAAACAUCCUUUUCCCAAUCUAGCGUAUCUAUUACUAUGAAUGGUCACGUUCAUGAUCCGAAAGAUUACAAGAAGCCGGAGAAGAAAUCAAAGUGGAAUUUUUUUCAACGGAGUCACCAAAACUCGCGAAAACGUUCCCUUCCUGAACCGAGCCCUUCUGUCGAAGUGCCAGUUUCCAUAUCUAAACUCCCUGCGUCCAGGCAGGUAGCUCACUACGCACUCCUCGAAAACGAGUUUAUAGAUUCGGAGUCACUCAGAGAUAUUUUCCAGGGGAUCGAGGAAUCACCCAC